rnacentral:lncRNA from 1 species
GGAAAUGCGAUUUCUCACCUACAAAGAGGAUAACAAGGGGUAUCAGGAAGUUGCGAAGAGGAGAACACAAUCUGCAGCGCCGGACUUGCGCGUGAUGUCUGUGUGCCUGUCCGUCUGUUUGUUCUGGGUGGGGUUGGGAAGGAGGGUUUACGCCGUACGGUGGAUUACGGCACGGUACGGCAGGUCACGAUACGGCGUAUGUACGGCAAAUGCUGAAGUCCGUCCCAACGUUUAGCAAACGCGGUUGAGAAGCACACAGCAAGUGCGUGCGGGGUCAGUCCGGAAGGUGAUGUAGCUGAUAGGGGCUUCACAGGGGGACUUAUUAAAAUGGCGAUGGCGAUGAUGAUGACACAAUUCAUACUGCACUGCUUUGCCUGGGCUUGCUGGUGCUGGUGCUUUAAUUUGUUUUGAUCUUUUGCUGCCUGCCUGCCUGCCUGCCUGCCUGCUGAGUUUGAGUUAUGUGUUGGAGAGUUCCGAAAUGGGAAACAGCGAUGUAACGCUGGAUGUUAGGGAGGCAGGGGGGAUGUUAAUUGGCCGCAAUGGCCAUCAGUAUAAUAUGAUGGGGAUGAUGACUGCUAUAUAAUUAUAAUGGGCCGCAAACAGGGAGCGCAAAUUGUUGCACUUCUGAGCUGCUCACUAUGAGUAGGUGAUGAGAAAGCACGUGUGUGCCGGUGUGUGUGUAUGUAUGUGUGUGUGUAUGUGUAUGUGUGUGUAUGUAUGUGUGUGUAUGUAUGUGUGUGCGCCGGUGCUUUCUUUGUGCUUUAACCCACACCCCCGACCCCAUGCGUGCUUUUGUGUAUAAGUGUACGGCAGCACCGUACCAUCACGCCACCACUGGGGGGCAUCGCUAGGGGGGUGAGGAGGGCUGUUUGGGUUUUGCUAAGUUGCUGCUGCUGCUGCUGCUGCUGUCGGUAUUAUUUUCUUUGUUUUGGGUUUGUUGUGUUUUUCCUCCUUUUUCGCGCUUUCACAUGCACACACAUACACACAAACACACACUAUUAAUAAGAAGCGUUUAGUCGGGGGGGAAUUGUCUAUUGACGCGCAACCAGGCAAGCAGGUUGUUUCGCAGUCAGCACUUGGAGCCGCAAUAAUACCUGCUGUGUAUGUACGGCAAAUGACUAUUUUUUAUGCUGCGUGUUUGUGGCGCAUGGUGCUGUUGUGCGUAGCCGGUAGUUAAUUAGUUGUAAUUCAGUCAGGGUUACCCAACUGCUCAUGCCGUCGCGAUGGGAUAGGAGCUGUUUGUACGACAUAUGGUGAGCGAGAGAGAGAAAGAGAGAGAGAAAGAGAGAGGCGUGUGGGGAUAUGGGGUGGAGCCGGAAUUUCUCUUCUCGUUCAUGUCCGUGGGGGAGUUGUGACCCCUAUUGCCGCCCCUUAUGUGUAUACUGUGUAUACGUUUGUAUGUUUGACGUUUUUCAUUUGUUUGACCUUCAUCCCCCAAUAUUGGAAUGUCUUAACGACAUUCCGCCAACAUGCCAUGAGAGCGUUGUGUGCGGCUGACUGGGAGGGCGGGGGAAGAGGGGGUUAUUAAGAGGGGGUUGGGGAUUGGGGGAUGGAAAAGAGAAGGGGGGCAAUGCUUCGUGGGCUGUACAGCAUAUCGACCACGUGGUGUAAUAAGGUGUACGGCAUCUCCAAGGGGAGGGUGAAGUAUUGUGCCGCAUCAGGUUUUGCCCCUUGCUCCUGUCCCCUGCGAGCACGUAUUGUUGUUGUUGAUGCUGGUGGGGUUAAACUCCUGUAUAUGUGUGUAUGUGUAGCUAUAUGUAUGUGUAGCUGUAUGUAUGUGUAGCUAUAUGUAUGUGUGUAUGUGUGUGUGUGUGUGCGUUGGCCAAGAUGGAAAAACAGGUAGGCUAGAAAACGGUGUGCUUCGUGUGACUGUACGGAAGAUUGUGUCGUGCAUUUCGCUCCCUUCUUCGCUGCACCCGAUUGUGUGUUUGUACGGUUGACUCUGCUAUUUAGGUAUGUUUGUAUGUACGCACUAACUGGUGCCGUACAACUUCAUUGGGCCCCAUUGGGUUGUAUCCCCUUCUUCCACAAUGGGUGCUGCCGUCGCAGCGACCUCCCAUUGCAACAGCCCCCCCCCACCGGCGCAUAAGUCCCCCCACAUGUGUGUAUGUAUGUAUGUGUGUGUAUGUAUGUAUGCGCAGCUGUACAUGUACGACAUUAAUCUCCACAGCCAACGACGUAACCUAACGCACAGCGUUUCUUAUAUUCAUUCUAAACCUAGGCAGGAUGCAAUCCAUCUUAACUAAAAAUAUUGACUUUAUUAAUUAAUUAUGGAUUUGUCCAUUUGGCCAUAUCGGAAUUCAAAUGGCCACUGCGAUCGCGAGCCCUUGCUGGCUGUUCUGUGCCGCCUACAGUUUAGUGGUGAUCGGCGUACGGCGGUGAUGUGUGAGGGCUCGGAAGGGAAAACGCCGUCCGACAGACUGACAGACUGGCUGACUGUGUGCAUCCCUGACUGCUGUUGCUGAUGUCCAGUGCUGUGAUCGUGAGUGUAUGUAUGUAUGUACGUCCGAUGUAACAUGUCGUACAAUCGGUACAUCAAUCCCAAGGCAGUGGAGUCGACAACAUCGUUGACCGGCCACAUAUACUAUACACACACACACCCCACUCUUGAUUGGGAAAAAAGGAAUCUCAGCAUCACGAUGGAUUUUGAAGGUCCUCAUUAUGCUAGUCGGCUCACGGACCCGACCAAUAAAGUCGAUAUAGACUUAUAAAACCCUAAAACCCU